rnacentral:misc_RNA from 1 species
UCCGGUUUGGCACCGGCAGUCUCCCUAGAGUUCCCGGCAUGAUCCGCUGGCAACUAACAGUAGGGGUUGCGCUCGUUAUGGGACUUAACCCGACACCUCACGGCACGAGCUGACGACAGCCAUGCAGCACCUGUCACCGAGUUCCUUGCGGCACCCCCAUGCAUCUCUGCUAGGGUUCUCGGGAUGUCAAGAGCUGGUAAGGUUCUUCGCGUUGCCUCGAAUUAAUCCACAUGCUCCGCCGCUUGUGCGGGCCCCCGUCAAUUUCUUUGAGUUUUAGCCUUGCGGCCGUACUCCCCAGGCGGGGUACUUAAUGCGUUAGCUACGGCACGGAUCCCAAGGAAGGAAACCCACACCUAGUACCCACCGUUUACGGCGUGGACUAC